rnacentral:misc_RNA from 1 species
AUUGAAAUUUUUUGUCAAGCUCCAAUAAGUUUCACAGAAAGAGGAUACAUAAUUAUACAUAGUAGUCCAUAUAUAUAUGUACAAGACCACAACACCACCAAAUUACAAAUCCAAGAAAUUGAGAAGAAAAUACCAUAUUUACAAGAAGAAAAAGAAAAACAAACACCCCAAUAUAUACGUAUUUAUAUAAGCUGAAAACAGCUCUCAAAUCCAAAGAAAAGUCGGUUUUCCUACUUCAAUUUCCUCUCUCGUAAACUCUUACAAGCAGCUACCAGCGGUUGGUUCCUUCUUUGCGAUUAUUCAAUCCAUCGAACCUUGCACUCUUACUAUUUUUAGCUAUAUAUUAAUAUUUAUAUAGUUGGCCGUCACAUCUCUUUAUGCAUAUGAAGAAGCACCCAAGAUAUGAUCAGAAAGUUGAUCUAUAUGUACAAGAGUAGAAUAAUAUAUAUAUUGUUGCCGAUUCUUCAACCAAAAUCGUCACUUUCCUCUCUCAACGAUCCAAAGCACUCAUCACCAUCCUGCAAUAAACAUGAAGGCACAACCCCAUAUAUAAGCCAUAACCAAUGCUAUAUGUAGAAUUAAACAUUUUCAUCUUUAUUUUUAUUCCAUGUUUUCCUUAUUUUUGCUUAAUAUGGCGGGCACAAAUGUUAUCAUAAAAAGAAAAAUGAUAAAAAGAGAACCAAUCGUGAAUGGUCGGACUUCUAGGCUCAGCAGGAAGUAGUGCAUCAGCAGACGAUUUUCUCCUCGUCAGUCUCUUGAAUUCCUCGCUUGGUGUCCCAGGUGAGAAUGGAGUCCCAGGAGUGCUACAGGCAGCAGGAGAAUCAGGAGCCGAACCAGGAUCCACAGACAAGUUCUUGAAAUUGGAAUGAGUCUUAAGAACAGUAAUGCUUCGAGUGAUAGCCAUUUCCUCAUGAGGAAUAGCAGCAGGAGCAGAUCUUGGUGUGGAAGCAGAGAAAGAAUCAUACUUACGCAGUUUGCCGAGCCCUGUAUCGGGCGCAGGCCCUGCGAGCGUUUCGUCCCAGAGCUUAUGGAGAAAUCCCAUGAUUUUAUCUCAAAGUAACAGCCGAAAACAAGCCUUAAAUGAAACAGGUUUCGUUCUGGGCGAUCUCUGUUUGUUUUAAAGAUAUUUCUUUAGCUUUUCUUUAUUUUCUUGGACCUUAAACGACUGUUACUAAGAGAGAAAGAGGGGCGAAACGCAGAGAGAAGAAAAGAGGGGAGAUUGAAAGAGGUGUUUAUCUAUUAUUUUUAAUAAUUAUUAUUAUUCUGGUAAGGAAUGCAAGGGUAGGGUUUUUAUUUUUUUAUAGAGAAAGUUCAGAGGAAGAAGGCAAUGUUUUGUUC